rnacentral:rRNA from 1 species
UGGGGAAUUUUGGACAAUGGGCGAAAGCCUGAUCCAGCCAUGCCGCGUGAGUGAAGAAGGCCUUCGGGUUGUAAAGCUCUUUUAGUCGGAAAGAAAGAGUUGCAAUGAAUAAUUGUGAUUUACGACGGUACCGACAGAAAAAGCACCGGCUAACUACGUGCCAGCAGCCGCGGUAAUACGGAGGGUGCAAGCGUUAUUCGGAUUCACUGGGUUUAAAGGGUGCGUAGGUGGGUAUGUAAGUCAGUGGUGAAAUCCCCGAGCUUAACUUGGGAACUGCCGUUGAUACUAUAUAUCUUGAAUGUCGUAGAGGUAAGCGGAAUAUGUCAUGUAGCGGUGAAAUGCUUAGAGAUGACAUAGAACACCAAUUGCGAAGGCAGCUUGCUAUGCGAUUAUUGACACUGAGGCACGAAAGCGUGGGUAGCAAACA